rnacentral:tRNA from 1 species
UUAAGGCUUUAAGUUAAAUAAACUAAUAUCCUUCAAAGUUAUAAAUAAAGUAGAUUGCUUUAAGUCUUA